rnacentral:rRNA from 2 species
UAGGGAAUCUUCGGCAAUGGACGAAAGUCUGACCGAGCAACGCCGCGUGAGUGAAGAAGGUUUUCGGAUCGCAAAACUCUGUUGUUAGAGAAGAACAAGGACGUUAGUAACUGAACGUCCCCUGACGGUAUCUAACCAGAAAGCCACGGCUAACUACGUGCCAGCAGCCGCGGUAAUACGUAGGUGGCAAGCGUUGUCCGGAUUUAUUGGGCGUAAAGCGAGCGCAGGCGGUUUCUUAAGUCUGAUGUGAAAGCCCCCGGCUCAACCGGGGAGGGUCAUUGGAAACUGGGAGACUUGAGUGCAGAAGAGGAGAGUGGAAUUCCAUGUGUAGCGGUGAAAUGCGUAGAUAUAUGGAGGAACACCAGUGGCGAAGGCGGCUCUCUGGUCUGUAACUGACGCUGAGGCUCGAAAGCGUGGGGAGCAAACAGG